rnacentral:lncRNA from 1 species
GUAGGGUUAGAAAGGGUUUAGGGUUAGGUAGGGUUUAGGUUUUAAGGUUAGGUAGGGUUUAGGGUUAGAAAGGGUUUAGGGUUAGUAGGGUUUAGGGCUAGGUAGGUUUUAGGAUUAGAAAGAGUUUAGGGUUAGGUAGGGUUUAGGAUGAUUAGAAAUGGUUUAGGGUUAGAAAGCGUUGAGGGUUAGUAGAGUUGAGGGUUUAGGUAGGGUUUGGGGUUAGGUAGGGUUUAGGGUUAGAUAGGGUUUAGGGUUAGGUAGGGUUUAGGGUUAGAUAGGGUUUAGGGUUAGGUAGGGUUUAGGGUUAGAUAGGGUUUAGGGUUAGGUAGGGUUUAGGGUGGUUUAGGGUUANNNNNNNNNNNNNNNNNNNNNNNNNNNNNNNNNNNNNNNNNNNNNNNNNNNNNNNNGGGUUAGAAAGGGUUUAGGGUUAGGUAGGGUUUAAGGUUAGAAAGGGUUUAGGGUUAGGUAGGGUUUAAGGUUAGGCAGGGUUUAGGGUUAGAAAGGGUUUAGAAGUAGGGUUUAAGGUAAAAAAGGGUUUAGGGUUUAGGGUUAGUAGGGUUUAGGGUUAGGUAGGAUUUAGGGUUAGUAGGGUUUAGGGUUAGGUAGGGUUUAGAUAGGUAGGGUUUAGGGUUAGUUAGGGUUUAGGGUUAGAAAUGGUUUAGGAUUUAGAGUUAGUAGGAUUUAGGGCUAGAAAGAGUUUAGAGUUAGAAAGGGUUUAGGGUUAGGUAGGGUGUAGGGUUAGAAAGGGUUUAGGGUUUAGGUAGGGUUUAGGGUUAGGUAGGGUUUAGGGUUUAGGGUUAGAAAGGGUUUAGUGUUAGGUAGGGUUUAGGGUUUAGGUAAGGUUUAGGGUUAUGUAGGGUUUAGGGUUUAGGUAGGAUUUAGGGUUUAGUUAGGGUUUAGGGUUAGAAAGGGUUUAGGGUUAGGUAGGGUUUAGAGUUUAGGUAGGGUUUAAGGUUAGGUAGGGUUUAGGGUUAGAAAGGGUUUAGAGUUAGUAAUGGUUUAGGGCUAGGUAGGUUUUAGGGUUAGAAAGGGUUUAGGGCUAGGUAGGUUUUAGGGUUAGAAAGGGUUUAGAGUUAGGUAGGGUUUAGGAUUAGAAAGGAUUUAGGGUUAGAAAGGGUUGAGGGUUAAUAGGGUUUAGGGUUUAGGUAGGGUUUGGGGUUAGGUAGGGUUUAGGGUUAGAAAGGGUUUAGGGUUAGUAGGGUUUAGGGUUAGGUAGGGUUUAGGGUUAGGUAGAGUUUAGGGUUAGAAAGGGUUUAGGGUUAGUAGGGUUUAGGGUUAGGUAGGGUUUAGGGUUAGGUAGAGUUUAGGGUUAGAAAGGGUUUAGGGUUAGUAGGGUUUAGGGUUUGGUAUGGUUUAGGGUUAGAAAGGGUUUAGGGUUAGUAGGGUUUAGGGUUUGGUAUGGUUUAGGGUUAGAAAGGGUUUAGGGUUAGUAGGGUUUAGGGUUUGGUAUGGUUUAGGGUUAGAAAGGGUUUAGGGUUAGGUAGGGUUUAGGGUUAGAAAGGGUUCAGGGUUAGUAGGGUUUAGGGUUUGGUAGGGUUUAGGGUUAGGUUUAGGUAGGGUUUAGGGUUAGGUUUUAGGGUUAGGUAGGGUUUAGGAUUAAAUAGGGUUUAGGGUUAGGUAGGGUUUACGUUUAGGGUUAGGUAGGUUUACGGUUAGAUAGGGUUAGGGUUUAGGUCGUAGGAAGGGUUUAGGGAUUAGGGUUAGCUUUAUGUAGGGUUUAGGGUUAGAUAGGGUUAAGGUCUAGGUUUAGGUAAGGUUUAGGGUUUGGUAGGAUUUAGGGUUUAGAUAGUAGAAAAGGUUUAGCGUUUAGUUUAGGUUGGGUUUAAGGUUUGGUUUAGAAUAAUGUUUAGGAUUAUAGGGUUUAUGGUUUGUUUGUUUUUUUGUUUAUGCAUUUAGUGCUGAAUUUUUUGGAUAAAAUUUUAUAUUAAUAUUAUUGAUUCAUAAUUUUUCUUAAAAUGUUAAAAAUUUUAACGUGAUUUUUAAUGUUCUUAUAACAAAUGAUGUAUUUUUUAUUAAGUUUUUUGU